GACGAACGCUGGCGGCGUGCUUAACACAUGCAAGUCGAACGGUGAAGCUCCAGCUUGCUGGGGUGGAUCAGUGGCGAACGGGUGAGUAACACGUGAGCAACCUGCCCCUGACUUUGGGAUAAGCUCUGGAAACGGCGUCUAAUACUGGAUACGAGAAGGUGCCGCAUGGGCACUUUCUGGAAAGUUCUGCGGUUGGGGAUGGGCUCGCGGCUUAUCAGCUUGUUGGUGGGGUAGUGGCUUACCAAGGCUGCGACGGGUAGCCGGCCUGAGAGGGCGACCGGCCACACUGGGACUGAGACACGGCCCAGACUCCUACGGGAGGCAGCAGUGGGGAAUAUUGCACAAUGGGCGAAAGCCUGAUGCAGCGACGCCGCGUGCGGGAUGACGGCCUUCGGGUUGUAAACCGCUUUCGGCAGGGACGAAGCGAAAGUGACGGUACCUGCAGAAGAAGCACCGGCUAACUACGUG
rnacentral:rRNA from 1 species